CACGAGGGCCGCCCGCAAAGUCUGGGGCCAUUCCGAGUCCGGCGGACGAACUUCGCCCACGCCCCCCUCCAAGGCUAUAGCCCACCCGCUUUUUGGCCAUUUUUCCGCUGGGGGGUCUUGGCACCCCGACCUUCGGGGGCAAAGUUUUGGGCGCGGCUGUGCCCGUGGCCAAUUUUUGGCACACGAGGGCCGACUGCAAAGUCUUGGGCCAUUCCGAGUCCUGCGGACGAACUUCGCCCACGCCCCCCACCAUGGCUAUAGCCCACCCGUUUUUUGGCCAUUUUUCCGCAGGGGGAACUUGGCACCCCGACCUUCGGGGGUUAAUUUUUGGGCGCGGCUGUGCCCGUGGCCUAUUUUUGGCAGACGAGGGCCGCCCGCAAAGUCUGGGGCCAUUCCGAGUCCUGCGGACGAACUUCGCCCACGCCCCCCACCAAGCCUAUAGCCCACCCGUUUUUUGGCCAUUUUUCCGCUGGGGGGUCUUGGCACCCCGACCUUCGGGGGCUAAUUUUUGGGCGCGGCUGUGCCCGUGGCCUAUUUUUGGCACACGAGGGCCGCCCGUAAAGUCUGGGGCCAUUCCGAGCCCUUCGGACGAACUUCGCCCACGCCCCCCACCAAGGCUAUAGCCCACCCGUUUUUUGGCCAUUUUUCCGCUGGGGGGUCUUGGCACCCCGACCUUCGGGGGCUAAUUUUUGGGCGCGGCUGUGUCCGUGGCCUAUUUUUGGCAGACGAGGGCCGCCCGCAUAGUCUGGGGCCAUUCCGAGUCCUGCGGACGAUCUUCGCCCACGCCCCCCACCAAGGCUAUAGCCCACCCGUUUUAUGGCUAUUUUUCCGCUGGGGGGUCUUGGCACCCCGACCUUCGGGGGCUAGUUUUUGGGCGCGGCUGUGCCCGUGGCCUAUUUUUGGCACACGAGGGCCGCCCGUGAAGUCUGGGGCCAUUCCGAGCCCGGCGGACGAACUUCGCCCACGCCCCCACCAAGGCUAUAGCCCACCCGUUUUUUGGCCAUUUUCCCGCUGGGGGGUCUUGGCACCCCGACAUUCGGGGGCUAAGUUUUGGGCGCGAUGUGCCCGUGGGCUAUUUUUAGCACACGAGGGCCGCCCGCAAAGUCUGGGGCCAUUUCGAGUCCGGCGGACGAACUUCGCCCACGCCCCCCACCAAGGCUAUAGCCCACCCGUUUUUUGGCCAUUUUUCCGCUGGGGGGUCUUGGCACCCCGACCUUCGGGGGCUAAUUUUUGGGCGCGGCUGUGCCCAUGGCCUAUUAUUGGCACACGAGGGCCGCCCGCAAAGUCUUGGGCCAUUCCGAGUCCUGCGGACGAACUUCGCCCACCCCCCCCACCAAAGGUUUAGGCCCCCCGUUUUUUGGCCAUUUUUCCGCUAGCGCGUCUUGAAACCCCGACCUUCGGGGGCUAAUUUUUGGGCGCGGCUCUGAUCGUGGCUUAUUUUUGGCACACGAGGGCCGCCCGCAAAGUCUGGGGCCAUUUCGAGUCCGGCGGACGAACUUCGCCCACGCCCCCCACCAAGGCUAUAACCCACCCGUUUUUUGACCAUUUUUCCGCUGGGGGGUCUUCGUACCCCGACCUUCGGGGGCACAUUUUUGGGCGCGGCUGUGCCCGUGGCCUAGUUUUGGCACACGGAGGCCGCCCGCAAAGUCUGGGGCCAUUCCGAGUCCGGCGGACGAACUUCGCCCGCGCCCCCCACCAAGGCUAUAGCCCACCCGUUUUUCGGCCAUUUUUCCGCUGGGGGGUCUUGGCACCCCGACAUUGGGGGGCUAAUUUUUGGGCGCGACUGUGCCCGUGGCCUAUUUUUGGCACAAGAGGGCCGCCCGCAAUGUCUGGGGCCAUUCCGAGUCCUGCGGACGAACUUCGCCCACGCCCCCCACCAAGGCUAUAGCCCACAAGUUUUUUGGCCAUUUUUCCGCUGGGGGGUCUUGGCACCCCGACCUUCGGGGGCUAAUUUUUGGGCGCGGCUGUGCCCGUGGCCUAUUUUUGGCACACGAGGGCCGCCCGCAAAGUCUGGGGCCAUUUCGAGCCCGGCGGACGAACUUCGCCCACGCCCCCCACCAAGGCUAUAGCCCACCUGUUUUUUGGCAACUUUUCCGCUGGGGGGUCUUGGCACCCCGACCUUUGGGGGCUAAUUUUUGGGCGCGGCUGUGCCCGUGGCCUAUUUUUGGCACACGAGAGCCGCCCGCAAAGUCUGGGGCCAUUCCGAGUCCUGCGGACGAACUUCGCCCACGCCCCCCACCAAGGCUAUAGCCCACCCGUUUUUUGGCCAUUUUUCCGCUGGGGGGUCUUGGCACCCCGACCUUCGGGGGCUAAUUUUUGGGCGCGGCUGUGCCCGUGGCCUAUUUUUAGCACACGAGGGCCGCCCGCAAAGUGUGGGGCCAUUUCGAGUCCGGCGGACGAACUUCGCCCACGCCCCCCACCAAGGCUAUAGCCCACCCGUUUUUUGGCCAUUUUUCCGCUGGGGGGUCUUGGCACCCGGACCUUCGGGGGCUAAUUUUUGGGCGCGCCUGUGUCCGUGGCCUAUUUUUGGCACACGAGGGCCCCCCGCAAAGUCUGGGGCCAUUCCGAGUCCGGCGGACGAACUUCGCCCACGUCCCCCACCAAGGCUAUAGCCCACCCGUUUUUUGGCCAUUUCCGCUGGGGGGUCUUGGCACCCCGACCUUCGGGGGCUAAUUUUUUGGCGCGGCUGUGCCCGUGGCCUAUUUUGGCAGACGAGGGCCGCCCGCAAAGUCUGGGGCCAUUCCGAGUCCUGCGGACGAACUUCGCCCACGUCCCCCAACAAGGCUAUAGCCCACCCGUUGUUUGGCCAUUUUUCCGCUGGGGGGUCUUGGCACCCCGACCUUCGGGGGCUAAUUUUUGGGCGCGGCUGUGCCCGUGGCCUAUUUUUGGCACACGAGGGCCGCCCGCAAAGUCUGGGGCCAUUCCGAGUCCUGCGGACGAACAUCGCCCACGCCCCCCACCAAGGCUAUAGCCCACCCGUUUUUUGGCAACUUUUCCGCUGGGGGGUCUUGGCACCCCGACCUUUGGGGGCUAAUUUUUGGGCGCGGCUGUGCCCGUGGCCUAUUUUUGGCACACGAGAGCCGCCCGCAAAGUCUGGGGCCAUUCCGAGUCCUGCGGACGAACUUCGCCCACGCCCCCCACCAAGGCUAUAGCCCACCCGUUUUUUGGCCAUUUUUCCGCUGGGGGGUCUUGGCACCCCGACCUUCGGGGGCUAAUUUUUGGGCGCGGCUGUGCCCGUGGCCUAUUUUUAGCACACGAGGGCCGCCCGCAAAGUCUGGGGCCAUUUCGAGUCCGGCGGACGAACUUCGCCCACGCCCCCCACCAAGGCUAUAGCCCACCCGUUUUUUGGCCAUUUUUCCGCUGGGGGGUCUUGGCACCCCGACAUUGGGGGGCUAAUUUUUGGGCGCGACUGUGCCCGUGGCCUAUUUUUGGCACAAGAGGGCCGCCCGCAAUGUCUGGGGCCAUUCCGAGUCCUGCGGACGAACUUCGCCCACGCCCCCCACCAAGGCUAUAGCCCACAAGUUUUUUGGCCAUUUUUCCGCUGGGGGGUCUUGGCACCCCGACCUUCGGGGGCUAAUUUUUGGGCGCGGCUGUGCCCGUGGCCUAUUUUUGGCACACGAGGGCCGCCCGCAAAGUCUGGGGCCAUUUCGAGCCCGGCGGACGAACUUCGCCCACGCCCCCCACCAAGGCUAUAGCCCACCUGUUUUUUGGCAACUUUUCCGCUGGGGGGUCUUGGCACCCCGACCUUUGGGGGCUAAUUUUUGGGCGCGGCUGUGCCCGUGGCCUAUUUUUAGCACACG
rnacentral:lncRNA from 1 species